AUUGAACGCUGGCGGCAGGCCUAACACAUGCAAGUCGAACGAGUGGCGGACGGGUGAGUAAUGUCUGGGAAACUGCCUGAUGGAGGGGGAUAACUACUGGAAACGGUAGCUAAUACCGCAUACCAUCAGAUGUGCCCAGAUGGGAGUAGCUAGUUGGUGGGGUAACGGCUCACCAAGGCGACGAUCCCUAGCUGGUCUGAGAGGAUGACCGUCAACACUGGAACGGGGACACGGUCCAUACUCCUACGGGAGGCAGCAGUGGGGAAUAUUGCACAAGUGGCGCAAGCCUGAUGCAGCCAUGCCGCGUGUAUGAAGAAGGCCUUCGGGUUGUAAAGUACUUUCAGCGGGGAGGCGUUACCCGCAGAAGAAGCACCAGCUAACUCCGUGCCAGCAGCCGCGGUAAUUC
rnacentral:rRNA from 1 species